rnacentral:rRNA from 1 species
UACGGGGGGGGUAAGCGUUGUUCGGAAUUACUGGGCGUAAAGGGCUCGUAGGCGGCCAACUAAGUCAUACGUGAAAUCCCUCAGCUUAACUGGGGAACUGCGUGUGAUACUGGAUGGCUUGGAUUUGGGAGAGGGAUGCGGAAUUCCAGGUGUAGCGGUGAAAUGCGUAGAUAUCUGGAGGAACACCGGUGGCGAAGGCGGCAUCCUGGACCAAUAUUGACGCUGAGGAGCGAAAGCGUGGGGAGCGAACAGG